UGCUUGAUGUUGCUUGUUGUCUGAAAAUGGUGUUGGACAUUUUGGAUCAAGGAAUAUAGAGUUUUGAGUUUGAGCAGUGAAAGUGGUCAACGUUGGCUGCGGAUUGGUCAAAAGAAUCAAACAUGCACGUUUUUGCUUUGGAUUUUGUUAUUUUGGUAAACCAUCUAUGGGGGUUAUGAUAAUGAAGUUUGGUGGUUAAGCAACUACGAAAAGGUUUCAGUUCACACUUACGGAGAAGAAUAAACUUGUGUUUCCGGCAUGUGAAACUGAAUAAACUAGUGUUUGACACUUCUAAUGAGAUUAGUAUUUUACAAGUUGUGGAUUAAACCAAGUCUUGUUCU
rnacentral:lncRNA from 1 species